rnacentral:lncRNA from 1 species
GGGGGGGCGCCGCCGCUGCGAAGAGGGAGAUCCCGCUGCAGCGGAGAGCGGGACGGCAACAGCGGGCUCUGAGCCUCGGCGCGCGGCCCGGCCGGCAGCGGGGCACAGCGGCUGCGGGGAGGCGGCCGGGCGAGCCCGGCAGGCCGCCCUCGUGAACAGCCGGCGCCCGGAGGAGCAGCUCCUCCGACACCGACGUGCGCUCGCCGGCUACAAAACUACUUCUGCCCUCGUUGCACUCCGCGGGGAGACCUACCUCCGCCGUUUCCAUUUGCCUCCGCGUCACAGCAGCGCCGUACACAAACAGAAGCGCCAGCGGCCGGGCUGGCACCAGGGACAGACCUUGCCCUGCCAAGGAGGCGGGCCUGCCGUCACACUUGUGACCCGUGCCCAGGGACAACAGGUGGCGGCUCUCCCCGCCGUGAGGCGCGGCCCGGCCCAGCCUGAGGGAGGCGUGCGGCGCCGCGGGGGGCUGGGCCUUGGGCACACCUGCCUGGCUGGUAAAAACCGAUCGUACUGGGGCUGCCGUUAAUCGUUGUGAAGAGGCUGCUGUCGCUGCAAGGAGUUCUGGAGAAAAGACCUCUACGAUCAGCUAGACCAGCCACCAACCCAUCACCACCUACUAACCGUGUUCCUCAGUGCCACAUCUACGCUUGAACACCUCCAGGGAUGGUGACUCCACCACCUCCCUGGGCAGCCCAUUCCAGUGCCUGCCUGACCAUUUUUUCGGGUAAAAGUCAGACACUCUUCUGCAGAACUGAAGCAACAAAUUGAAACUAUUCUAAGAACAAAGAAAUCCAGUCAAGUAAAGAAGCAUAAAUUUGAAGAAGCUUACAUUCCCUGCAAAGUCACGUUUCAGCUUACCGUUCACAAACAAUCCAGGUAAAAUCUGCUCUGACAAGGACUCUGAGUAGAACACCAUGGAAAACAACACAUUCCUGGAGACUUCCAGUUUGUCUCUCCAUCAAGACUGAAGAAAAUGGAGACACAAAUGAUACAGAGUCAGUGCAUGUAGUAUAAAAGCACUGUAAAAAAAUAUGUCUGUAUAUAUGUUCUAAAUUCCUAUUUAAAUCUAGGGUGCACCACUUCACGCAAGCACUACAUGUGGUUUAUUGCCCACUCAUAUAAAGCAUCUCAACUUUAUUAGUUUUUGCCCUUCUUGGUCGCUCAUUUUCCUUGAGUGAAGUGAGACCAGGGUAUUUGUUUUUUCAUCUCUACUCAUCCCUAUGGGGAAAGGAAAUAAAACAUCCUAGUGAUUUUCUACUCACAUUCUAUCUGCACUUAAUUCCCAGAACUCCAAAACUAUUGCACCAAAUGCAGUCUUUAAAUAUUUAUGGAAUAUUGAAAAAUAUAUUCAGUUUCCACUAUUUGAAAUAGUAGACUUGGAAGAGAAGAAGGAAAUUGCAGUCAUGCUCUCAGUCUUAUCCAUAACUCUGAAAUCAUUUCAGUCUAAAAGAAUACACAGUUCUAUCUACUGCUGUAAAAACAUUUCUGUGUGGGAGGCUAGAACUUUGAACUGCAACUAAAUUACUAAAACUGUUUUUUAAGACAAGGGUCUUUCUGCAGUACUGUGCUAGUAGCAUACUAUUACGUUAUCCUACUACUCGAGUAGAAGAUUGGUUGGAAUAUCUAGCUUUUAGAAAACUUCAUUCUUAGAAAUGUAUUAGAUACCAACAUUUUUAUACAUAGGUUGCACUGAGCUGCUUAGGCUUAGCAAAAUCAUUUCCAGCACAGUUUAGUAGUGGCAGUUGUUUCUUGAAGGAGCACUGAACUAUCAAACACAUCACCUGCUUUGUAACAGCAACAAAAUACCUGUAUUCUCACCUUGUCAAGGAUAUAUUGCUGCCUAAACCCUCUCAAUAAACCUACAAAAUGUAUUACUCAACACUGGAUUGCUCAAGCUUAAAAAGACAAACCUUCAAAGUACUUCAUGUUAUAUAUGUCAACAGCAACAAGAAAAAAAAAAACCAAGAAAAUUAAAAUAGCUUCUGCUAACUUCUCAUUUCAGAUCGCCUUUAGAAACAUGCAAGGCAGUAACAUGUACUCAGCAACUCAUUAUAAAAACGUGUUCCUGUUUGUAAACUGCUGCUUAACACCUUAAGAUAUAGGAACAUUUUGCCUCAAAAAAACCAAACAAAAAACCAACCACCACCACCAAAAAAAAACACCAAAAAACCCCCGCACCUAAAACCCAGCACUAAUCACUUUCCUCUGAAGGUAAUGUGGAAGAUUUCUAAGCGAUAAAAAGGAAUCUUAUUGGUAGAGCAGCAGAGUAUAUGGGAUAUCUCAGUAAUGAAUGGAUGAAGAGUCUGAGUAACAUGUUGAACUCAUUGAGAAAAGAAACCUGAGGACUCUCCCCAGUGUUUAAAUCUGUCCUGGAGGAAAUCCCAACGUCAUCCCUUGCUAGACAUGUUUCUGUAAGCAAUGAAUAUCAGUACUUCGGAACUCUCUCACUACUACGAGUCCAAAAAUU